CACUCUGGACUGGCACUUCGUUUCCCUGGCUCCCCAGCCUGGGCCUUACUCCCUUCCUUGUUUACCCUCUCUUGGCUUAUCUCAUGCAGCUCACUGGGCCUCACCAACCUUCUAGCUGAGCCCAGAGGCGAGCAUCAGAUGUCACAUGGGUGAGGGUGAGGCAGCAAGGCACCAGGACCUUGAGGACAGGAUGCUCCAAGGAGGCAAACAAAAAAGAUAGGACCGCGGUGCUGUGGAGAUCUCUGAAUGAACCUGGAACUCACAAACUGGCUAAAACUGGCUGGUUACUGAGCUCAAAGGAUCUGCCUGUCUCUCCCAUCACCACAACUACCCUCCUUGAGGAUUGCAACCAUCCACACUUGAGGAUUGCAGACCAGCUUUUGUGUGGAUCCUGGGGAAUCUGAAAUCAGGUCUUCCUUCUGGCAUUCAUGGCCUCCCUGGAAACCCAUCCAUGGUUCCUCAGUAAAGAACUCAUCCCUAAAGGACCAGCCUGGACAUCCGCAAAGGUGAUUGAGUUUCCCUGCAGCCCUGCCACAUCUUCCGGAUAGAAACCCAGGAUCCUCCCUACAGGGUAACUAACUUCCCAGAGUUCCCACAGCUGUGAAUACGCCUGGGACUCAAAUCCAGGUCAGUUUACUUUGACUGGAAGUAAAGGGAAAGGCAGC